rnacentral:rRNA from 1 species
AACGAACGCUGGCGGCAGGCCUAACACAUGCAAGUCGAGCGCGUCCCUUCGGGGGCGAGCGGCGCACGGGUGAGUAACGCGUGGGAACCUACCCUGGGGUAGGGGAUAACCGCUGGAAACGGCGGCUAAUACCCUAUACGUCCUGAGGGAGAAAGAUUUAUCGCCCUGGGAUGGGCCCGCGUCGGAUUAGAUAGUUGGUGGGGUAACGGCUCACCAAGGCGACGAUCCGUAGCUGGUCUGAGAGGAUGAUCAGCCACACUGGGACUGAGACACGGCCCAG